GGGAAUUUUAUAUUCAAGUUCAUGCCAGCACAUGAUCUCAAAACUAUAAAUUAUAUUUCUCAGCUCCCCAACAGUAGUACGAUCUAGCUAGAUUUGAUCUUAAAUUCGACUAAAUUCAUGAUGAUGUCGCUCAAUUAUAUGCAAGCAACGAGCUGUGUGAGAAUGCUGAUGAUUUUGGCAUUGGCUUUGUUGCCGUUGCUGUCACGAGCGCUGGGCGUGGGUCAGGUGAGGCAAUUGGCAGUUCGCUAUAACGUGACAGCAAUCCUUGUUUUUGGUGAUUCGAGCGUCGAUCCCGGCAAUAACAACAUUCUUCAAACGGCCAUGAAGGGCAACUUCGCACCCUACGGGAGGGACUUCUUUAAUGGCCGCCCGACGGGAAGGUUUAGUAAUGGAAGACUCGCCACGGACUUCAUUGCGGAGGCCAUUGGCUUCACAAAACAAGUUCCAGCCUUUCUUGAUCUGAAUUUAAAGCCAACAGAUCUGCUACAUGGUGUCAGUUUUGCAUCAGCUGCUUCAGGUUACGAUGACCUUACUGCCAAUCUUUCGAAUGUGUUGCCCGUUUCCAAUCAGCUGGAGUAUUUUAUGCAUUACAAGAUCCAUCUGAGAAAGUUGGUGGGUGAGAAGAAGGCAAACGAUAUUAUCAGACGUGCUGUGUUUGUUUUAAGUAUGGGCACAAAUGACUUUCUCCAGAACUACUACUUGGAAUUAGUCCGCCCUAAGCAAUUCACUGUGCAACAGUACCAGGAUUUCUUGGUCUCAUCCAUGUCUCGUGACAUUGAGUUAAUGCACGGACUAGGAGCCACAAGAUUGGUUGUUGUCGGGGUACCGCCUAUUGGAUGCAUGCCACUUGUGAAGACAAUGAUGGGCCAGACAGCAUCAUGUGUGGAGAGUUAUAACAAAGUAGUCGUCUCAUUCAAUUCCAAGGUACAGAAGAGACUGGCAACCAUCAAGGCAGCUUUAAGGAUGAAAAUCGCUUUUGUUGAUGUAUAUGGUGUCCUACAGAAAGCAGUAUCCCAUCCCAUGUUAUACGAUUUAAAGGAAACUGCGAAGGGGUGUUGCGGGACAGGAGCCAUAGAAUAUGGAGAAACAUGCAAGGGGUUAACUACAUGUACUGAUCCAACAAAGUACGUGUUUUGGGAUGCUGUUCAUCCGACGGAGAAAAUGUACAAGAUCAUAGCAGAUGAGGCUGUUAAAUCGCUUAGCCAAGAACUCACGAACUAGUUUAUUGGGUCGACGUACGUACGUACAACAUCAUGUUGUGGCUAGCUUGGCACGACGAGUGUCAAAUUAAUUUGUAAGUGUAGGGAUAAUACGUCGGACUUUAGUUUUUUAACUUAAUUUCAAUCUUAACUAGAUAAAUUAAGAUUCAUAUUCUAGAGUUCGACUCUUCGUCUGGA